UUACCGAGAAGCUGUGAAGGAAGUGACGUAGGGCACGCGCCGGUGGCGUGAUGGAGCAGCAGCAGCAGCAGCAGCAACAGCAGCAGCAGCUCAGAAACCUGCGGGACUUCCUGUUGGUCUACAAUCGGAUGACGGAACUCUGCUUCCAGCGCUGCGUGCCCAGCCUGCACCACCGAGCUCUGGAUGCUGAGGAGGAGGCCUGUCUGCACAGCUGUGCUGGGAAGCUGAUCCAUUCCAACCACCGCCUCAUGGCCGCUUACGUGCAGCUCAUGCCUGCCCUGGUACAGCGCCGCAUCGCAGACUACGAGGCUGCCUCAUCUGUGCCAGGAAGGAUUCUUAUUUGUGCCCUCAUUGAACCCUUUUAUGUCUCAUUCACCAUUACGUCCACAGCACUUGGUAGAGUGCCAUAAACAACAACAAAAGCACGCAGCUCACACAGCUAGGUGUGUCCAUGUGAUCGAGUGAUACAUGCAUUGCCAGGUUGUGCCCUUAAGGGUAAGGGUGGGCCUUCUACUCUUUCCCCCAUCUCACUACUUGGGAUGAGGCCCAACACACAUGGUGGUGAACUGUCUUGGACCUUGAAGAUAAGGACCACUUCCUUGAAGAAGGCAGAACAACUAAAAGGCUGCCAUAUUAGCCCUGGAGUACUUAUUCCUGGACAGUUGUGUGAGAGAAAAAGGAGUUUUCUCUGGCUGGAUGCAGAAGAGAAUGUCAGAAAGAUUUGAAACAUAAGAAGGAUUUGAGGCACUGCUGCUGGUUUGAAGAUGAAGGUGCCAUAUGGCAAGGAAGACAGGUGGCCUCUAGGACCUUAGAGUGGCCCCUGAGGCCCAGGAGGAAACAGGGACCUCAGUCCCACAACCGCAAGAAACUGAAUCCUGUCAACAACAAGAAUGAGCUUGGAGGAGGAUUUUCCCCCAGAGCCUCCAGACAAGAACUCAGCCCAGAUGACCUUUCAGGCUUAUGAUAUCCUGAGCAGAGAACCCAGUCAGGCCAUGCUGGGCAUCGAUGUACAGAACUGUGAGAUACUAAAUGGAUGUUGUUUUAAAGCUGCUUAGUUUGUGGCAAUUGGUUACACAGCCACAGAAAACUUCUCUGUCUUCUAAAUGAACCGUAAGCAGAGAUGUACUGUAUGAAGGCUCUGGCUGGGGGGGGGGGGAGCAUGCUCAGUGUGAUCCAGGCACAGAGGAGUGGUGUGAAUAGGGAUAGAUGGUCAAAAGGCCACAGAGGUAGCAGCCAGCUGAUGAGAUAGCAAAUUGUAGGCUGUGUAGGACUUUGGCUUUCCUGAGGGAAUGAGAUGAUAAGGCAUUAGUGAGUUUUGAGCAGAGGAGUCAUAGGAUCUGCCUGUAUUUGAAAAAGGUCACUGGCUGCUCUGAAAAGAGCAGAUUGUAGGGGCAAGGGAGGAAACAGAGACCAGUUAGAAGUCUAUGGAAUAAUCUAGGUGAGAGGUGAUAGUGGCCUAGACCAAGGUUUAGCUCUUAGGGUGGUGAGAAAUAGUUGGAUUUUGGAUAUAUUUUGAAGCUAUAGCUUAACAAAGUUUGCUAAAGCAUUAGACAUGGGAUGUGUGUGGGGGGAGAGGGGAGUCAAAGGUGACGCUAAAUUUUGACCCAAGCAACUGGAAAAAUGGACUUGGUAUUUACUGAGAUGGGGAAGACAGUGAAAGGAACAGGUUUAUUUGGAAGGAGGCAGUUAGGAGUCUGGUUUUGGACAUUUUAAGUUUUUAAGUUUGGGAUUCUUAUCAGAUUUAUAAAGCAGAGGUGGGACUCUA